AGCCUCUCAGGCUGUUCCUCACUCCCAAGACGCAGAUCUGGUUCCUUUCACCUUCCUGAUAGGCCCUGGCAGAGCUGCCCAGGACAGCCAAGGUCUCCAGGGCUCCCAGGGACAGAGAAGCAGCCCACGGGGGCCAUGGCUGCCUUCGUACCUUACGUAGUCUCGCCUGAUCCACCCUGCCCGUCGGCCCUCCGAGGACUCAGUCCUCCUGAGGAAUGUGGACUGCCUGAGCCCCUGGAGUCUGGCCAGCACAGUGCCUACCCCCGUGAGCCGGUUGCCCCGGGCACCCCCUCCGCCAGUCAAGGAGACCUCAGCAAGGACUCCCAUUAACCAGAUCCCAAGGGAGCCCAAGCCACCAAAGUCAUGAAUACACAUGAGCCCAAUGCAGCCUCGUGGACAAUAAGACAAUGAAGGUGACAUCUCGGAUUCCCGCAGUCGGUGGCCACAUUGUUUUAAUUUGCAAAUUAAUGAACAAUUUCAGAUGUCAGAGCUUUGGCCUACGGAGAAAUGUAACCUUCAGCUGAGAUUUUCUUAUCUCUUCUGAUAUGGAUGUCUACAUCUUCCCUGGGUUUCAGCAGUUUCCUCUUCUCUGCUCCUAAAAGAACCUGCAUUUCCCUUUCCUGACUCCCUUCCUGGCUUCCUGUGUGCUAAGCCUUUGCAGUUGUCAUCAUGUCUUCAGAAGGCAUUUGAUAGGUACAGGAAGUUGCACCAGACGGGAGAUGGAACCAGCAAUCAAUAAAAAAAGAACUAUGUUUCUAAGAAAAAAUGCAUCACGGCUUCCCACCGGAGUUGUGUACCAUAUGUCCUAAUAUCCGUGGAACAAUGGAUCUAAAUUUUAGCUCUUCUGCUUGGCUGUCCUGGCCAUCUAAACAAAACAAAACAAAUCAAAAAAAAAAAAAAAAAGAAAGAAA